rnacentral:rRNA from 1 species
CAACUCUCGGCAAUGUAGAUCUUGGCUCUUGCAUCGAUGAAGAACGAAGUGAAAUGCGAUACUUGGUGUGAAUUGCAAAAUCUCGUGAACCAUCGUGUCUUUGAACACAAGUUGCUCCCGAGGCCACACCUGCCU